UAAUGGCCCUUGCUUGCUUGCUUGCCAGUUGUCUCAGCCAUAUAGUUUUCCUUAUUCUUAUUUAUAGAGAAGACUGGUGACUCCUAUUUGAAUACAAGGGCUUGUUUCCUUAAAGAAGCAAAAUUUCAAAAGAUUUGUUAUGUGCAUUGUUUCAGUGUUGGGGCUUUACUUAGAUUACUUCCCAUUUGUCUUUGUUUUCUUGCAGGAUGCAUUCAUUUUUGUGCCUCUUCAUCUUUCAGUAUAACCAUUAAUGAAACCACAAGGGUGUGUGCAUUCAUCUGUAAUGUGAAUACAACAGCCUGAAUGUUGCCCAGAGCCACAACAUCUGUCAUAGUGGGGGCACACCUUCUCCCCCUGCUCCUAGUGCUUCGCCCUCUGUAUUCAUAUGCAAAGAGAGUUAAGAUGCCAUAGGUAGAGAUCAGAACAGAAGAGAAGAUUUCACUGUUUCCUGAACAGCUGGUAAGUGGCAGUGGAGUUUGCAGAGGCUGGCAAUGGGACAGUUCUGCCUGCAAAACUCUUGAGAUGCCAGCUGGCGUAAUUCCAACCUUGUCAGCAUGGUGUGCCGUGGUCUGUGGGGCUGCUGCAAAAAUAUGGACAAGAGGUGACAUGUGGAAAGGACUCCAGACUCACUAAGUUUGGAGGCACAGCAAAGGCAAUAAGAAGAUGUACUGGUAUGAAGACUGGCUGAGGAAAACCAAAAAGUGCAUUGUACAUCCACCUGCAUUGCAGAGUGGUGUGUGUUGGGAGAAAUUGGUAGUGCUGCACUACAUUUUAUAUGUUUUAUGUGACAAGUACUUUGCAAAGCUUUCAGGGUCACUGGACAGGACAACAUGAUCUGGGUCAUCAAGUCUUGUUCCCUGCUAUUGCAGGCCCACUGUUAUUCAAUCCCUAUUGUAAACUGAUUGAUCUUUAUCUCAAAAGUAAUCGAGUCUCAUUCCCCCACAAUGCUCACUGGGAGACUCUUCCAGAAUCUCUUUUGUUUGAUGAUUAGGAACCAUCUCCUGAUUACCAGUCUAAAUGUAUUCAUAGUUAACUUGCAUUCAGUUGUUCUUGUGCCAACAUCUUAUUUUAGCUAAUAUAAUUAUUGUCUCUUGUUGCUGUUUUUGCUCAGAAGUAUUUAUAGAGAGCCGUCAUACCUCCACUCACUUCUCAUUUUGCUAGGCUAAACAAAGCAUGCUUUCCUAUCUCCCUCCUAACUGGUGGCCUCCUCCUCCCUCUCCCCAUCCUGGCAACCCUGCUCUGUGCUUGCUUAUGUUGAAUUCUUCCCUGAAGCUGGAUGAGUGGUAAUGGACACAGCU